rnacentral:piRNA from 1 species
UGGAAAUGAUGAAAUAGAGAUACUUGGGU